rnacentral:rRNA from 1 species
GACGAACGCUGGCGGCGUGCUUAACACAUGCAAGUCGAACGGAAAGGCCCUGCUUUUGUGGGGUGCUCGAGUGGCGAACGGGUGAGUAACACGUGAGUAACCUGCCCUUUACUUUGGGAUAACUUCAGUAAACUCGGGCUAAUACCGGAUAUUAGCUCCUUCUGCAUGGUGGGUGUUGGAAAGUUUCGGUGGUUGGUGAUGGACUCGCGGCUUAUCAGCUUGUUGGUGGGGUAGUGGCUUACCAAGGCUUUGACGGGUAGCCGGCCUGGGAGGGUGACCGGCCACAUUGGGACUGGGAAAGCGGCCGGAGUCCUACGGGAGGAAGGAGUGGGGAAUAGUGCGAAAAGGGCGGAAGGCGGAAGGAGCAACGCCGGGUGGGGGAAGACGGUCGUUGGGGUGGAAACCGCUUUAGCCUGUGAAGAAGAGUGAGUGACGGUAAUGGGUAAAGAAGCACCGGCUAACUACGUG